AUGGCGGACCGGCUGACGCGGAUCGCCAUCGUCAACGACGACCGCUGCAAGCCCAAGAAGUGCCGCCAGGAGUGCAAGAAGAGCUGCCCCGUCGUCAAGACCGGGAAGUUGUGCAUUGAAGUUGGUCCGGCGUCCAAGGUUUCCUUCAUCUCUGAAGAGCUGUGCAUUGGUUGUGGUAUUUGUGUCAAGAAAUGCCCAUUUGAUGCCAUCGAGAUCAUCAACCUCCCAAAAGAUCUGGAAAAGGAUACCACCCAUCGCUAUGGGCCAAAUACAUUCAAAUUGCACAGGCUGCCUGUUCCAAGGCCUGGUCAAGUUUUGGGACUUGUUGGAACUAAUGGAAUUGGAAAGUCCACAGCGCUUAAAGUCUUAGCUGGCAAGCUGAAACCAAAUUUGGGACGAUUCAAAAAUCCACCUGAUUGGCAGGAGAUCCUUACAUACUUCCGUGGCUCUGAACUUCAGAAUUAUUUUACACGUUUAUUGGAGGAUAACCUGAAGGCAAUCAUUAAGCCUCAAUAUGUUGACCACAUUCCAAAAGCUGUCCAAGGAAAUGUGGGGCAAGUACUUGAGCUGAAAGAUGAGAGGGAUAUGAAAGCUGAGCUGUGCGUUGACCUUGAAUUGAACCAAGUUAUUGACCGAAAUGUGGGAGAUCUUUCUGGCGGUGAGCUCCAGAGAUUUGCAAUAGCAGUUGUUGCUGUGCAAAGUGCAGAAAUUUACAUGUUUGAUGAACCAUCAAGUUAUCUUGAUGUUAAGCAGAGACUGAAGGCUGCACAAGUCAUUAGGUCCUUGCUGAGAUCGAACAGCUACGUCAUUGUUGUGGAACAUGACUUGAGCGUCUUAGAUUACUUGUCCGACUUCAUUUGCUGCUUAUAUGGAAAGCCAGGAGCUUAUGGUGUAGUUACACUGCCAUUUUCAGUCCGAGAAGGUAUCAAUAUUUUCCUGGCUGGAUUUGUUCCAACUGAAAAUCUUCGGUUCCGAGAUGAAUCUCUUACAUUUAAGAUUGUGGAUACGCAAGACAACGCGGAGGAGAUUGAAACAUACCAACGAUACAAGUACCCUACCAUGAGCAAAACCCUAGCAAAUUUCAAGCUCACUGUCAUGGAAGGUGAAUUCACUGAUUCUCAGAUUGUUGUGAUGCUUGGUGAGAAUGGGACAGGGAAAACUACAUUCAUCAGAAUGCUGGCUGGGCACUUGAAGCCAGAUACCGUGGAUGGAGUUGAGAUCGAAAUUCCUGAAUUUAAUGUGUCCUACAAGCCCCAAAAGAUUAGCCCAAAAUUCCCGGGCUCAGUGAGGCAACUGCUUCAUAAGAAAAUACGCGAUUCAUAUACUCAUCCUCAGUUUAUAUCCGAUGUAAUGAAGCCACUACAAAUUGAGCAGCUCAUGGAUCAGGAGGUGCUGAAUUUAUCAGGUGGAGAACUCCAAAGGGUGGCUCUAUGUCUUUGCCUUGGACAGCCUGCAGAAAUCUACCUUAUUGAUGAGCCGAGUGCGUACCUCGAUUCGGAGCAGCGCAUUGUCGCCUCGAAGGUGAUCAAGAGGUUCAUCCUCCACGCCAAGAAGACGGCGUUCAUCGUCGAGCACGACUUCAUCAUGGCAGCCUACCUUGCGGACAAGGUGGUGGUCUACGAAGGGCGCCCCUCUGUCGAGUGCACUGCCUGCACGCCGCAGUCCCUGGUGUCUGGGAUGAACAGGUUCCUAUCGCACCUUGACAUCACGUUUCGGAGGGACCCGACCAACUACAGGCCUCGGAUCAACAAGAUGGACUCAACCAAGGACCGGGAGCAGAAGGCCGCGGGGUCCUACUACUACCUCGAUGACUGA
rnacentral:rRNA from 1 species